rnacentral:sRNA from 1 species
AGCGGCUACUAUGAGGUCACGCGGGAAACCGACCGCG